UACGUAGGGUGCGAGCGUUAAUCGGAAUUACUGGGCGUAAAGCGUGCGCAGGCGGUUUUGUAAGCCAGAUGUGAAAUCCCCGGGCUUAACCUGGGAAUGGCAUUUGGGACUGCAAGGCUGGAGUGUGGCAGAGGAGACUGGAAUUCCUGGUGUAGCGGUGAAAUGCGCAGAUAUCGGGAGGAACACCAAUGGCGAAGGCAGCUCGCUGGGGAGUACCUGACGCUCAGGUGCGAAAGCCAGGGGAGCGAACGGG
rnacentral:rRNA from 1 species